GAUGAACGCUGGCGGCGUGCCUAAUACAUGCAAGUCGAGCGAACGGACGAGAAGCUUGCUUUUCUGAUGUUAGCGGCGGGCGGGUGAGUAACACGUGGAUAACCUACCUAUAAGACUGGGAUAACUUCGGGAAACCGGAGCUAAUACCGGAUAAUAUUUUGAACCGCAUGGUUCAAAAGUGAAAGACGGUCUUGCUGUCACUUAUAGAUGGAUCCGCGCUGCAUUAGCUAGUUGGUAAGGUAACGGCUUACCAAGGCAACGAUGCAUAGCCGACCUGAGAGGGUGAUUCGCCACCCUUGAACUGAGGCACGGUCCAGACUCCUAAGGGAGGCAGCAGUAGGGAAUCUUCCGCAAUGGGCGAAAGCCUGACGGAGCAACGCCGCGUGAGUGAUGAAGGUCUUCGGAUCGUAAAACUCUGUUAUUAGGGAAGAACAUAUGUGUAAGUAACUGUGCACAUCUUGACGGUACCUAAUCAGAAAGCCACGGCUAACUACGUG
rnacentral:rRNA from 1 species